GAUGAACGCUGACAGAAUGCUUAACACAUGCAAGUCGAUGGGGAAGUGGUGCUUGCACCAUGGCAACCAUGGCGGACUGGUGAGUAACGCGUAAGGGACUUACCUGCAGGACUUGGAUAACAGGGAGAAACUCCUGACAAGACCGGAUAAUGUCAUGGAGCUGCAUGUCUUUAUGAUGAAAGGAGGCGCCUGCGGAGAGCCUUGCGUCCUAUUAGCUAGUUGGUGAGGUAAUGGCUCACCAAGGCGAAGAUAGGUAGCCGGCCUGAGAGGUUGGACGGCCAAGAGGGGAAUGAGAUACGGCACUUACGACUACGGGAGGCAGCAGUGGAGAAUAUUGGACACUGGGGGCAACGCUGAUCAAGCAAUUCUGUGUGCACGAAGAAGGUUUUCGGAUUGUAAAGUGCUUUCAGAAGGGAAGAAGUAAGUGACGGUACCUGCAGAAGAAGCGACGGCUAACUACGUG
rnacentral:rRNA from 1 species